rnacentral:tRNA from 1 species
GAGGGUAUAACUCAGUGGUAGAGCGCAUGCUUAGCAUGCAUGAGGUCCUGGGUUCAAUCCACAGUACCUCCA